UUAAGUUAUUAAGGGCGCACGGUGGAUGCCUUGGCACUAGAAGCCGAUGAAGGACGUUACUAACGACGAUAUGCUUUGGGGAGCUGUAAGUAAGCGUUGAUCCAGAGAUUUCCGAAUGGGGAAACCCAACAUGAGUUAUGUCAUGUUAUCGAUAUGUGAAUACAUAGCAUAUCAGAAGGCAGACCCGGAGAACUGAAACAUCUUAGUACCCGGAGGAAGAGAAAGAAAAAUCGAUUCCCUGAGUAGCGGCGAGCGAAACGGGAAGAGCCCAAACCAACAAGCUUGCUUGUUGGGGUUGUAGGACACUCUAUACGGAGUUACAAAAGUAUAUAUUAGACGAAUCAUCUGGAAAGUUGAAUCAAAGAAGGUAAUAAUCCUGUAGUCGAAAAUAUAUACUCUCUUGAGUGGAUCCUGAGUACGACGGAGCACGUGAAAUUCCGUCGGAAUCUGGGAGGACCAUCUCCUAAGGCUAAAUACUCUCUAGUGACCGAUAGUGAACCAGUACCGUGAGGGAAAGGUGAAAAGUACCCCGGAAGGGGAGUGAAAGAGAACUUGAAACCGUGUGCUUACAAGUAGUCAGAGCCCGUUAAUGGGUGAUGGCGUGCCUUUUGUAGAAUGAACCGGCGAGUUACGAUUUGAUGCAAGGUUAAGCAGCUAAUGUGGAGCCGUAGCGAAAGCGAGUCUGAAUAGGGCGUUUAGUAUUUGGUCGUAGACCCGAAACCAGGUGAUCUACCCUUGGUCAGGUUGAAGUUCAGGUAACACUGAAUGGAGGACCGAACCGACUUACGUUGAAAAGUGAGCGGAUGAACUGAGGGUAGCGGAGAAAUUCCAAUCGAACUUGGAGAUAGCUGGUUCUCUCCGAAAUAGCUUUAGGGCUAGCCUCAAGUGAUGAUUAUUGGAGGUAGAGCACUGUUUGGACGAGGGGCCCUUCUCGGGUUACCGAAUUCAGACAAACUCCGAAUGCCAAUCAAUUUAACUUGGGAGUCAGAACAUGGGUGAUAAGGUCCGUGUUCGAAAGGGAAACAGCCCAGACCACCAGCUAAGGUCCCAAAAUAUAUGUUAAGUGGAAAAGGAUGUGGCGUUGCGCAGACAACUAGGAUGUUGGCUUAGAAGCAGCCAUCAUUUAAAGAGUGCGUAAUAGCUCACUAGUCGAGUGACACUGCGCCGAAAAUGUACCGGGGCUAAACAUAUUACCGAAGCUGUGGAUUGUCCGUAGGACAAUGGUAGGAGAGCGUUCUAAGGGCGUCGAAGCAUGAUCGCAAGGACAUGUGGAGCGCUUAGAAGUGAGAAUGCCGGUGUGAGUAGCGAAAGACGGGUGAGAAUCCCGUCCACCGAUUGACUAAGGUUUCCAGAGGAAGGCUCGUCCGCUCUGGGUUAGUCGGGUCCUAAGCUGAGGCCGACAGGCGUAGGCGAUGGAUAACAGGUUGAUAUUCCUGUACCACCUAGUAUCGUUUUAAUCGAUGGGGGGACGCAGUAGGAUAGGCGAAGCGUGCUAUUGGAUUGCACGUCCAAGCAGUAAGACUGAGUGUUAGGCAAAUCCGGCACUCAUAAGGUCAAGCUGUGAUGGGGAGAGGAAAUUGUUUCCUCGAGUCGUUGAUUUCACACUGCCAAGAAAAGCCUCUAGAUAGAUAACAGGUGCCCGUACCGCAAACCGACACAGGUAGUCAAGAUGAGAAUUCUAAGGUGAGCGAGCGAACUCUCGUUAAGGAACUCGGCAAAAUGACCCCGUAACUUCGGGAGAAGGGGUGCUCUUUAGGGUUAACGCCCAGAAGAGCCGCAGUGAAUAGGCCCAAGCGACUGUUUAUCAAAAACACAGGUCUCUGCUAAACCGUAAGGUGAUGUAUAGGGGCUGACGCCUGCCCGGUGCUGGAAGGUUAAGAGGAGUAGUUAGCUUCUGCGAAGCUACGAAUCGAAGCCCCAGUAAACGGCGGCCGUAACUAUAACGGUCCUAAGGUAGCGAAAUUCCUUGUCGGGUAAGUUCCGACCCGCACGAAAGGCGUAACGAUUUGGGCACUGUCUCAACGAGAGACUCGGUGAAAUCAUAGUACCUGUGAAGAUGCAGGUUACCCGCGACAGGACGGAAAGACCCCGUGGAGCUUUACUGUAGCCUGAUAUUGAAAUUCGGCACAGCUUGUACAGGAUAGGUAGGAGCCUUUGAAACGUGAGCGCUAGCUUACGUGGAGGCAUUGGUGGGAUACUACCCUAGCUGUGUUGGCUUUCUAACCCGCACCACUUAUCGUGGUGGGAGACAGUGUCAGGUGGGCAGUUUGACUGGGGCGGUCGCCUCCUAAAAGGUAACGGAGGCGCUCAAAGGUUCCCUCAGAAUGGUUGGAAAUCAUUCAUAGAGUGUAAAGGCAUAAGGGAGCUUGACUGCGAGACUUACAAGUCGAGCAGGGUCGAAAGACGGACUUAGUGAUCCGGUGGUUCCGCAUGGAAGGGCCAUCGCUCAACGGAUAAAAGCUACCCCGGGGAUAACAGGCUUAUCUCCCCCAAGAGUUCACAUCGACGGGGAGGUUUGGCACCUCGAUGUCGGCUCAUCGCAUCCUGGGGCUGUAGUCGGUCCCAAGGGUUGGGCUGUUCGCCCAUUAAAGCGGUACGCGAGCUGGGUUCAGAACGUCGUGAGACAGUUCGGUCCCUAUCCGUCGUGGGCGUAGGAAAUUUGAGAGGAGCUGUCCUUAGUACGAGAGGACCGGGAUGGACAUACCUCUGGUGUACCAGUUGUCGUGCCAACGGCAUAGCUGGGUAGCUAUGUAUGGACGGGAUAAGUGCUGAAAGCAUCUAAGCAUGAAGCCCCCCUCAAGAUGAGAUUUCCCAACUUCGGUUAUAAGAUCCCUCAAAGAUGAUGAGGUUAAUAGGUUCGAGGUGGAAGCGUGGUGACACGUGGAGCUGACGAAUACUAAUCGAUCGAAGACUUAAUC
rnacentral:rRNA from 1 species